GCCCGGCUAGCUCAAUCGGUAGAGCGUGAGACUCUUAUUUACCCCCCUUAAAGAGAAAAAUCUUCAGGGGCGGUGGAGAGGAACACAGAUAUCUCAAGGUUGUGGGUUCGACCCCCACGUCGGGCU
rnacentral:tRNA from 1 species